UGCCUAGUACCUAACAGGCAAUAGUGUAUCACUUUCAGAAAGCGUGUACGAUUACGGGGCAGACAUUCGAACAUUUACGAUAAGAUCUACAGUUUCAAACAGACUCGUGAGCAGGAAUUCUUGAUUUUGCUGAGCAAGACGAGAGCACUACUACGACAACAAAACCGAUUCUGAUUUACUACAACUACUAUCUCACUUUUCCACUGAACAGAAAGAUAUCCCUACGCUGCGCUGCUAGCAAAAUUCAAGUGGAAGCUAACAGUUGUAUAGUUCAAGUCGACCAGAUGAACAAAGACUACUUGAAAGCGUACGAAACGAUUAAACGCUGUUGCCGUUGUGGAAAGAAAACGCCACCGACGACGGUCGUCUAUUAUCCAUGCUAUUGCAAGAUUUGUGGUGAUUGUGCAAACAUAGACGAUAAACAUGGAACCGUGGGUAUCUGCCCGAUUUGUGGACAAAAAUCAAAGCGAAUGGUCUAGAACUUUUGUGCUGAUUUGCAAAAACAUGGAACUCACCGAGUGACGGACGGGUCUUUGUAUACACGAUUGUUUGUAACGAACUUUUUUGAUUGCCAGCAACACGUGCACUUUAUA